AAUCAACGCUGGCGGCGUGCCUCAGACAUGCAAGUCGAACGAGAAAGUCCCCUUCGGGGGAUAAGUAAAGUGGCGCACGGGUGAGUAACACGUAGGUAAUCUACCUUCGGGUGGGGAAGUAACCCAGGGAAACUUAGGGCUAACACCGCAUAAUGCAGCGGCACCACAUGGUGACAGUUGUUAAAGCGGGGGGAGUUUUAGGUACCUCGCGCCUGAAGAGGAGCCUGCGGCGGAUUAGCUAGUUGGUGAGGUAACGGCUCACCAAGGUAACGAUCCGUAGCCGGCCUGAGAGGGCGGUCGGCCACACUGACACUGACAUACGGGUCAGACUCCUACGGGAGGCAGCAGUCGGGAAUUUUGGGUCAAUGGGCGAAAGCCUGACCCAGCAACGCCGCGUGAAGGAUGAAAUCCCUCGGGAUGUAAACUUCGCAAGAAUGGGGAAGAAAUUAGUAGGGGUUAAGUACCCCCUAUGAUGACGUACCAUUUGUAAGCUCCGGCUAACUCCGUGCCAGCCGCCGCCGU
rnacentral:rRNA from 1 species